UACGAAGGGUGCAAACGUUGCUCGGAAUUAUUGGGCGUAAAGCGCACGUAGGCGGCUUAGCAAGUCGGAAGUGAAAUCCCUCGGCUCAACCAAGGAAGUGCUUUCGAAACUGCUGAGCUUGAGUACGAAAGAGGAUCGCGGAAUUCCGAGUGUAGAGGUGAAAUUCGUAGAUAUUCGGAAGAACACCAGUGGCGAAGGCGACUUACUGGACACAUAUUGACGCUGAGGUGCGAAAGCGUGGGGAGCAAACAGG
rnacentral:rRNA from 1 species